rnacentral:lncRNA from 1 species
AUGAAAAAAAACCUCCUUGAUCCUGGAAUAAGACCAUGUCUGGGGGUGUAUUACCAACAUUGUUGUAAUCCUGUGCAGUGCCAUGUCAGCACAUGCUGGUUCAGCUCUUCUACCAAAAAGAGCUGCUGCAUGGUUAGAAGUGCUCCUGAGACUCCGGGAAGGCGAAUUCCUGUGCCUGCCUGUGGAGUGGCGUGGGUAUGGCACUUGAGGAGUGCAGAUUGGGCAUCCACAUUCCUGUCUGUCCAUGAGCUGCACAGAAGAACCAUUUCUGGGAACAGCUGGAGGCUUGGGACUGAAUUGCCUCCGGAGCUCGUAUUCACUUCUGCUAUGGCAUUAUAGAAGAGCCCACAUUGGAAGCAGCCAUGAAAGAUCUUCUGGUCCAACCUCUUGUGGAAAAAGGAACCUGCUAUCUGGCACCCUGGGACUGCCCCAGCUUGCCCCAACUGCCCCAUCACCUCCAGUGAUGGGCGCUCCACCAUAUUCUUGGGAAGGUUGUUCCACUGUAAAAAAUGUCUUUAUUCUAUCAUGGUUAGGUUACUGCUUUCUCUUGGUUUCAUGACAAAUCUCUUUGAGUGUUUCCAGCUUAUUUCCUAAGCUGGAUAGUGAACAAACUCUGUUGUGCAAGGAGGCUGGAGGGGAAGCUGCUGGCUCAGUAGACAAGAAUGAGACACUUCCAGACUUCAUGAAAGAGAGGUUGUAAUUUAUUAAAGAAAUUUUUCUUUAGGGCCUCCUGAGUACUUAUUAUAUUCUUGUUCCUGCUGAUCGAUGUUCCUGUUGUCUUGAUUAAUCAACUGAUCUUUUGAAUAGUUUUAAUCAGCUCCAACAUUGCCAGGAACUAGCCCCACUUCAAGUGAAGGAAACACAACUGUCAGCAGCUGACAGGACACCCAGCUGCUUGUUGGGCCUGAGGCUGGAUGCUUGGGAUGGUAUAAAGGCAGAUUCUGGGAGAAGGAAAGAAGAUGCUGGGAAAGACAAGGAAAGAAAAAAGGACAGGUAAAAUCCCAGGAGUCCAUUGCUGUGAGCUGUGAUUGUGGAUAAGGCACUGGCACCAUGAGCAUGGCAACAUGCAGGUGGCCAGAGUGGUGGCCAGAGGGAAAAUCCACUGCUUGCAUUUUUAAGUCAUGCAGUAAACACUGCAUAGACUUCAUUUAGCUGUAUUUAUACCAUUGGCCCUGAUCCCUAGGGGAUGGAUUGACUUAAAAUCACAGGAUUUUCUAUGUAAUAAAUCUGUAUUUCUUUUUGUUUGUCUUGCAAGCUGUGGAUUCACCCAAAUUCAUAUGCUAAUAUUUUUCCCUUGUGAUGACAGGAACCACAGUGACAAGGACUGUGCAUGUGUGAGUUUAUCCAGCCGUUCAAAAUUCAGUGAACCUGUGGGCACUGCUUCAGAGAGACAGAACAUGCUGCUGCAGUCAUCUGGGCAAGGCAGCUGCCUCAGACGUGGCAGUCAGCGAGCUAUGGCCCUGCUGUGCCACACAGCUGCAGACAGGCCAAA